rnacentral:rRNA from 1 species
UGGGGAAUAUUGGGCAAUGGGCGCAAGCCUGACCCAGCAACGCCGCGUGAGGGAAGAAGGCUUUCGGGUUGUAAACCUCUGUCCUUGGUGACGAAACAAAUGACGGUAGCCAAGGAGGAAGCCCCGGCUAACUACGUG